rnacentral:snRNA from 1 species
AGCUUUGCGCAGUGGCAGUAUCGUAGCCUAUGAGGUUUAUCCGAGGCGCGAUUAUUGCUAAUUGUUUCCUGAGUUGUUAAUUUUAGCCAUUCUGACUGAUGUGAGGUGGUUUCUCGUUGUGGUUUUGAUUUGUAUUUCCCUGAUGCCAAGUGAUGUUG